rnacentral:rRNA from 1 species
UACGUAGGGGGCAAGCGUUGUCCGGAUUUAUUGGGCGUAAAGAGCGUGUAGGCGGUCUGGUAGGUCCGUUGUGAAAACUCGAGGCUCAACCUCGAGACGCCGAUGGAAACCCUCAGACUAGAGUCCGGAAGAGGAGAGUGGAAUUCCUGGUGUAGCGGUGAAAUGCGCAGAUAUCAGGAAGAACACCCGUGGCUAAGGCGGCUCUCUAGUACGUGACUGACGCUGAGACGCGAAAGCGUGGGGAGUGAACAGG